ACAUUACCGAGUUAGGGUCUUAUAGGCCCGACCUCCCAACCCUUUGUUUACUGAACCAACAUGUUGCUUCGGCGGGCCCGUCCUCUAGGGGACCGCCGGGGGGCCGUAAAACGCCCUCUGGCCAGCGCCCGUCGAUAGCCCACAACCAAAAUUCUUAAUUAAACGUGUCAUUGUCUGAGUACUUGAUUAUUUAAAUCAUUAAGCAAAACUUUCAACAACGGAUCUCUUGGUUCUGGCAUCGAUGAAGAACGCAGCGAAAUGCGAUAAGUAAUGCGAAUUGCAGAAUUCCAGUGAGUCAUCGAAUCUUUGAACGCACAUUGCGCCCUUUGGUAUUCCGAAGGGCAUGCCUGUUCGAGUGUCAUUAUCACCCCUCAAGCCCCCGGGCUUGGUGUUGGACGGCCGGUGGAGGCUUUCGAGCCUCUACCCCUCCUAAAGACAAUGACGGCGGCCUCGCAGGAACCCCCGGUACACUGAGUUCUUUGACUGGACACGUACUGGAUCAGGGCGCCCGAGGACCCGGUCACAAACCCAUUUAUUUUCUAGGUUGACCUCGGAUCAGGUAGGGAUACCCGCUGAACUUAAGCAUAUCAAUAAG
rnacentral:misc_RNA from 1 species